UACAGAGGGUGCAAGCGUUAAUCGGAAUUACUGGGCGUAAAGCGCACGUAGGGGUUUUUUAAGUCAGAUGUGAAAGCCCCGGGCUCAACCUGGGAAUUGCAUUUGAAACUGGAAAACUAGAGUGUGAGAGGGGGGUAGAAUUCCAAGUGUAGCGGUGAAAUGCGUAGAGAUUUGGAGGAAUACCAGUGGCGAAGGCGGCCCCCUGGCACAACACUGACGCUCAGGUGCGAAAGCGUGGGGAGCAAACAGG
rnacentral:rRNA from 1 species